GGGGAUGAUCGGUUUCGACGGGGAAGGCUGAUCCUGGACGGCAAGCCGAGUAUGCUUCUCACCUCGUAAAACUGGAAGCAACCAAUAAGUGCAAACACAAACGCACGCUCCUACAGCGCUCUUCCGCUGGCUGCAUAAGCCACGCAGGGAGACCUGUAGCCGGUUCCCCUGAGAGGGAACCCGUCUGCUUCAACUUCUUGUUGGCUGGUUGAAGACAGGCGACACGUUCGCCAACAUGCGCCGCCUCGAUGCUGCUAGAGGCGGUUAAGCGGCUCUUUCGGGAGUCAGCAGCUCGCUGUUAGUUGACCCGGUUGGUCGGGGCGUCUGACAGUUAAACCUUAAAUAGACCAACUAAGCUUGUAGAUGUUCAGAGGUCGAAUUUUUCGGACGCGGGUUCGAUUCCCGCCAUCUCCACCU
rnacentral:tmRNA from 1 species